AGCCGCGUGGCGCAAUGGACAAAGCGUCGGUCUUCGGAACCGGAGAUGGAAGGUUCGAGUCCAGCCGCGGUCG
rnacentral:tRNA from 1 species